ACUACCACACGCCGAGUUAUCAUUGUCGCAGCUACCUACAAAUGAUUUAGGUUAUUUUCAGGAUAACAUUAACCGCCUAAAAUUGUCGGGUUAAAGCUGACGGGUCAGAUACUUUAAUUAGUGCGCGCCACUGCAGACGUCAAUUGAUUAACGGCUGCAUCCGAGUUGGGUCCCGGACUCUAGUGGUCUUGACAAGUGGGUAGUAAACUAGUUGGGUCUCAAU